rnacentral:rRNA from 1 species
AUUGAACGCUGGCGGCAGGCCUAACACAUGCAAGUCGAGCGGAUGAAGGGAGCUUGCUCCUGGAUUCAGCGGCGGACGGGUGAGUAAUGCCUAGGAAUCUGCCUGGUAGUGGGGGAUAACGUCCGUAAACGGGCGCUAAUACCGCAUACGUCCUGAUGGAGAAAGUGGGGGAUCUUCGGACCUCACGCUAUCAGAUGAGCCUAGGUCGGAUUAGCUAGUUGGUGGGGUAAAGGCCUACCAAGGCGACGAUCCGUAACUGGUCUGAGAGGAUGAUCAGUCACACUGGAACUGAGACACGGUCCAGACUCCUACGGGAGGCAGCAGUGGGGAAUAUUGGACAAUGGGCGAAAGCCUGAUCCAGCCAUGCCGCGUGUGUGAAGAAGGUCUUCGGAUUGUAAAGCACUUUAAGUUGGGAGGAAGGGCAGUAAGUUAAUACCUUGCUGUUUUGACGUUACCAACAGAAUAAGCAACGGCUAACUUCGUG